ACUCCUACGGGAGGCAGCAGUGGGGAAUAUUGCACAAUGGGCGCAAGCCUGAUGCAGCCAUGCCGCGUGUGUGAAGAAGGCCUUGGGUUGUAAAGCACUUUCAGUCGUGAGGAAGGCGGGUACGUUAAUAGCGUAUUCGUUUGACGUUAGCGACAGAAGAAGCACCGGCUAACUCCGUGCCAGCAGCCGCGGUAAUACGGAGGGUGCGAGCGUUAAUCGGAAUUACUGGGCGUAAAGCGCAUGCAGGUGGUUUGUUAAGUCAGAUGUGAAAGCCCGGGGCUCAACCUCGGAAUAGCAUUUGAAACUGGCAGACUAGAGUACUGUAGAGGGGGUUAGAAUUUCAGGUGUAGCGGUGAAAUGCGUAGAGAUCUGAAGGAAUACCGGUGGCGAAGGCGGCCCCCUGGACAGAUACUGACACUCAGAUGCGAAAGCGUGGGAGCAAACAGGAUUAGAUACCCCGUGGUAGGACAGUG
rnacentral:rRNA from 1 species